UCCAGUCUGCUCACUGAUAAUUUAAAGAGCCGCAGUAUAUUGACUGUGCAAAGGUAGCAUAAUCAAUAGUUUUUUAAUUGAAAACUUGUAUGAAAGAUUAGACGAGAUAUUUAUUUUCUUUAUUUUAAAUAAUUAAAUUUUAAUUUUAAGUGAAAAUGGCUUAAUUAAAUUUAAAAGACGAGAAGACCCUAUAGAUUUUUAUUAUUUAAAUAAAUUUUAUAAAAGAUUUAAUAAAAAUAAUUUCAUUGGGGUGAUUUUGUAAUAAAGAAAACUUAAUUUUUUUAAACCAAAAAUAAUUGAAAUUUUUGAUCUAAAAUUUUUAAAGAAAAGAUUAAAUUACCUUAGGGAUAACAGCGUAAUUUUUUUUAAGAGUUCAUAUCUAUAAAAAAGUUUGCGACCUCGAUGUUGAAUUAAGAUAAUAUAUUGAAGUAG
rnacentral:rRNA from 1 species